GCGGCUCCGCCUGCUUCUUUCUUUCCGAGCCGCCGCGCGUGGUGUCCUAUAUCGAUGAGGAAGCUGUAGGUCAGAAGAUCAUGACUGCACUAUCCCUUUUUAGAUGGAAAAGAACAUUGUUGAAGUCAUUCCAAAAUGCUUACUUAAAUUAGGGGUAAGCAGAAGGGUUUGACAGAAGGACUCGGUGCUAAUAGGAUGAAAUACUGAAAACCUAUGUGUAAUUUGGCUGAUCUGCUGUGUGACAGAUUCCAACAUGUCUAUCAACAGGUCUUCAUGUACCAACCAGGUUGACAUGGACAGAUAAGCUGAAGCAGAGAAAGGC